rnacentral:rRNA from 1 species
GAUGAACGCUGGCGGCGUGCCUAAUACAUGCAAGUCGAGCGAACAGACGAGGAGCUUGCUCCUCUGACGUUAGCGGCGGACGGGUGAGUAACACGUGGAUAACCUACCUAUAAGACUGGGAUGACUUCGGGAAACCGGAGCUAAUACCGGAUAAUAUAUUGAACCGCAUGGUUCAAUAGUGAAAGACGGUUUUGCUGUCACUUAUAUAUGGAUCCGCGCCGCAUUAGCUAGUUGGUAAGGUAACGGCUUACCAAGGCAACGAUGCGUAGCCGACCUGAGAGGGUGAUCGGCCACACUGGAACUGAGACACGGUCCAGACUCCUACGGGAGGCAGCAGUAGGGAAUCUUCCGCAAUGGGCGAAAGCCUGACGGAGCAACGCCGCGUGAGUGAUGAAGGUCUUCGGAUCGUAAAACUCUGUUAUUAGGGAAGAACAAAUGUGUAAGUAACUAUGCACGUCUUGACGGUACCUAAUCAGAAAGCCACGGCUAACUACGUG